GACGAACGCUGGCGGCGUGCUUAACACAUGCAAGUCGAACGGAAAGGCCCUGCUUUUGUGGGGUGCUCGAGUGGCGAACGGGUGAGUAACACGUGAGUAACCUGCCCUUGACUUUGGGAUAACUUCAGGAAACUGGGGCUAAUACCGGAUAGGAGCUCCUGCUGCACGGUGGGGGUUGGAAAGUUUCGGCGGUUGGGGAUGGACUCGCGGCUUAUCAGCUUGUUGGUGGGGUAGUGGCUUACCAAGGCUUUGACGGGUAGCCGGCCUGAGAGGGUGACCGGCCACAUUGGGACUGAGAUACGGCCCAGACUCCUACGGGAGGCAGCAGUGGGGAAUAUUGCACAAUGGGCGGAAGCCUGAUGCAGCAACGCCGCGUGCGGGAUGACGGCCUUCGGGUUGUAAACCGCUUUCGCCUGUGACGAAGCGUGAGUGACGGAAAUGGGUAAAGAAGCACCGGCUAACUACGUG
rnacentral:rRNA from 1 species